rnacentral:rRNA from 1 species
AACUCCAAGACUAGAGCUAGGUAGGGGUCACGGGAAUUCCCAGUGUAGCGGUGAAAUGCGUAGAUAAUUGGGAAGUCAACACCAGCGGCGAAAGCGCGUGACUGGGCCUGAGCUGACACUACAUGGACCUGAAAGCUAGGGGAGCGAAAGGGAUUAGAUACCCCUGUAGUCCUAAGCCGUCAUAACGAUGACAACUAGGUGUUGCCCGUAUCGACCCGGGCAGUGCCGUAAGCCCAUACGCGUUAAGUUGUCCGCCUGGGGAGUACGCACGCAAGUGUGAAACUACCAAUAGGAAUUGACGGGGGCCCGCACAAGCGGUGGAGUAUGUGGUUUAAUUCCAGAUUGCAACGCGAAGAACCUUACCAAGGCUUGACAUGUCGCGAAUCUUCUUGGAAUAAGGGAAGAGUGCCUUCGGGAGCGCGAACACAGGUGGUGCAUGGCUGGUCGUCAGCUCGUGUCGUGAGAUGUUGGGUUAAGUCCCGCAACGAGCGCAACCGCUCGUUUCUAGUUGCCAUCAUUGAGUUGGGCACUUUAGAGAGACUGCCGGUGAGCAAACCGGAGGAAGGUGGGGAUGACGUCAAGUCAGCAUGCCCCUUACGCCUGUG